GCAUCCUCCGGGUCUCCCAUCAUCCUUGCUGCCCUCUCGCACUCCCCAGGCCAACCUAGGUUAGUCCUAGAACUUCUCGCUGUUUUUUUGUUUCUCUUUUUUUUUGUGCCCUAUUUGUUUAGCUUCCUUAAGGGCCUGUUCGCUAUUUUUCUAAUUUUUUCGAGAUUUUGUAGCUUUCGUUCGAUCCAAAAUAUCUUUCGAUACCUCCUCUUCUAGUAGUUCUAGGAGUUCGUCAGCCCCAGUUUUCUAUAGUACUGGUACCAUAGACGAACCCGUAGCUAGGACCGAACCUUGUUUGGCCUUUGUGCCGGACACCAUCCCUGGCUCUUUGACUCCGGAUGAACUCUCACUGAUAAGGAUUCAGUAUGGAGUUCCUCCGGAGUAUGAGCUGGAGCUUCCUGAGCCAUCUGAUCGGGCUAGCGCCCCUCCUUCUGGUCGCUUCUGUCUGUCCCAGAAGACCUUCCGUGCCAAACUUUAGCUCCCGCUGCCGCCCUUUGUUGCCGCUCUCUUUCAUUUUCUGAACAUUUCUCUAGCUUCCAUUGUGCCGAACUCCUUUGGUUUUUGAUAGGGUUUCUUUCCCUUCCUUUUGUCUUCUUGCAUUGAUUUGAGUCAUGGCACUCUUGUCUUCUAACGACAGUGUCCUGUCGAGGCUCUUCCCCUGUCGGAGGGUAUUCCCAUGAAGUCGAUGAUACGAGACCUCCAA
rnacentral:lncRNA from 1 species